AUUUAACACAGAGCUGAGCUCUCAAGUGCUCACGUGAUCUGACACACCUUUGCAGAACAUCGCAGAAGAGUCUCUUUUCACUGACAAGCUUCUCAUUGGAAGAACUCCAGAUUUUGGACAACACGGAUGCAGCUGGCUCUUUUGUUUGAUGGAAGGAAUCACAGAGCUAAAUAUCCAGUGGAAUAUCAAAUGGAAUACAAGAGACUUUCCUCUCUGCUCUCUGGAUCUCUGCAAAAUGCCCUGUUUGUUUUGAAGGUCAAACAAUGUACUCAGUAACCACAAGAUGGCUGCCACCGAGCAUUGGCUGAUAAUUAACUCUGCUUGCUGGAGGCUAUUUCCCGAAACAGCAUUCCAUGAAGUUUCUGAAGACCUGCCUACAUCAAACAAACAAUUGCUGAACUGUAAUAGACCCGCCCUUAA